ensembl:lncRNA
GUUUGUUCUGGAGGAGGUGUUCAACCCAAAGGAGUCAUACAGUAACAUCAACAUUAGCAAUAACUUUUAUUCCGAAGACAGAUAAGAGGAAGACAAAGAUGGGGUUUUACCCAAAACUUCACUUACUCAAGAGGCUGAAAUCAACAUGAAGUCAGACGUGCUGGACAUUCUUUAAACCACUUGUGUCCACUGGCUGUGUACUUUCUGGUGUCAGGAAACCUUCCACAGGUUAAGAAGUCUGAAAACCUCCUCUCCUUUGCCCUGGAAAAAAUACUUUCAUGGAGGCUAAACUAUAAUUCAUCAAAAUUAGCUCAUUUUGUAUAUAUAAGUUUUAGCUGGAUAGUUUUAAAAUAAAAGUGGAU